UACGUAGGGGGCAAGCGUUGUCCGGAAUUAUUGGGCGUAAAGAGCGUGUAGGCGGCCAGAUAAGUCCGCUGUGAAAUCUCGAGGCUCAACUUCGAGCUGUCGGUGGAAACUAUCUGGCUAGAGUCCGGAAGAGGAGAAUGGAAUUCCUGGUGUAGCGGUGAAAUGCGCAGAUAUCAGGAAGAACACCCGUGGCGAAGGCGGUUCUCUGGGACGGUACUGACGCUGAGGCGCGAAAGCGUGGGGAGCAAACGGG
rnacentral:rRNA from 1 species